UACAGGAGGCCCGCGCGUUAAUCGGAAUCGCUGGGCUUAAAGGGUGCGUAGGCGGGCCAGCAAGUGUACCGUGAAAUCCCCCGGCUCAACCGGGGAAUUGCGGCGCAGACUGCGGGCCUUGAGGAAGCUAGGGGUCGCUGGAACGCUCGGUGGGGCGGUGAAAUGCGUUGAGAUCGAGCGGAACGCCGAUGGUGAAGACAGGCGACUGGGGCUUUCCUGACGUUGAGGCACGAAAGCGUGGGGAGCAAACAGG
rnacentral:rRNA from 1 species